rnacentral:misc_RNA from 1 species
GGAUGGUUUCCAGAAGGCAUACUCUGUUGAUUUUGGGCCCCUAUUAUAUUACUUGCUGCUACUUUUUUAAUGUAAUUGAUACAUGGGAGAGCAGAGCCUGGCUCCUUGAAAAUCAAUGCUUCUAUAUGCAUACACCAUAAUAGAUGACAAUUUCCCACACUUCUUGUAUGGUAAUAAUUUUUGAAUGAAAUUACUGGUACGCAUGCAUGCAUGUGAAAAUAUAUUACGCGGUGAACAAAAUUUUCUUUUAUUGCAAUGUUUAACGGCUCAAAGGCAAAGUCAGCAAUUAGGCCUUGUGCAAGCCUUUUUUUACGCCGGAUAUUCAAUAACUUAAAUAUGCCAUACUUCAUUCUUAGAUGUGCAACAAAAGAUGCUUAUAGUAUGCAUUAUCGUGUCCCCAUAUACAAAUCUAUGCACAAGUGGGGGAUCAGUUCAGUUAAGACAAAAAGAUUGCAUCUACAAAAAUGUAUCUCUAAUUAUGCGUGCUGCUACACGAGAUGAAAGCCGUGUUAACACCUCUGGAAGCACUCUGGCUGAGAUGCCUGGUAAAAUGGGAAGCAGCUCUUGUAUGAUCCGAGCAACAUUCACAUCCUGUUGAUGCCCAGAAGAUACAUGCUCAUUAGAAAACAAUCAUAAUUAUCACUUAAAACCAAACUAAAUUAAAAAAACAAGGACCAAACAUCAACAGCAACUUGAAAUUUGAAAAACAAUAGUUCAUAAACAAACCACCUUGAUGGAUAAUUUCAUUUUUCCUUGUUUAAGUGUUACCUGACCCGAUGUCCUUGAUAUUGAACUUCCUGCUGUCAAGAACUCAACAAUUUUCUGAACGUUAUUCAAGAUAAUUUUAUCCUCUUCAGUUAUCGUCGGCAGAAGUCCUGCAGGCUUAAAGGGUCCAGGUACCAUGCUGAAAACUGGGGCAGCAUUUCCCACUCCAAGGACUGCCAGUAUUUGUACGAGCUGUUCCCUUGUAACAGCAUCAAUACCUUUUACAAUCUCAUCCAGAAGAAAUUCUCGAAAAAAGUUCCCCUUCUCAGAGAGCAAAAAUGCUAAGGCCGCCCUUGUUUGAAUUGGCUGCGUUGGUUGAGACGAAAUUAAUGCAAAUCCAGGAUAAUUAUAACCUGUUUGACUUUGCAGAAUGCCAAGUUCAGCCAUAUUCCCAUUCAAAUUUUCUCCACCUCCACUUUUCGCAGCAGUGAUAAAAUUCUCAAAGGCUUGCAUGACAUCGAUGAAUCUUUCAGCAUCAAAAACACCAGACUUCCCAUAAAUUGUAUAGCGUAAAGCAUUCCUUAGGCGAGGGGAUUCAUCAGUGAGAAGCCUCUGUGCAAUAUAGGGAUAGGCCUCAUCUACAAUAGCAAAAUCAGGAUUUCCCACUAAAGCUAUACCUUCCAGCACACCUAUUGCCCUAAUUAUGAGUGCAAAAUAAGGUGGUAUUCUGAAUGGAUAAUCAAAUGUUAUCUCUGCCAGAUCUGAUGCUAGCUCCUGAAAGUUAAUAUUUUUUGCUCCUCCACCCUCAAGUGCUUGAUCAAAAACCUUAGCCAGGACUGGUAAGAUUGGUUCCAAAUUAACUCCCUCAGGAAUGAAAUCAAGUUUAACAAAAUCUUUUACAAUAGCAGCAUAAUCCCGAUGAAUGAGGUGGGCAAUAGCUUCAAUCAUUCCAUAUUUCUGAUCAUCUGUUAAUUUUGUGACUAGACCAAAGUCAAGAAUGGCAAGCUUCCCAUCUAGAGUACGGAUCAAAUUCCCAGGGUGAGGAUCGGCAUGGAAAAAUCCAGUAUCAAGCAACUGCUUCAAGUAGCAUAUAACUCCAACAUUGACCAAUUCUCCAACGUCACUUUCUGUACUUUGUGAGAGCUUUUCUCCAUCAAUCCAUUGUGUAGUAAGAACCUUUCUUGAAGUAUACUUUUCAUAAGUCUUUGGCACAACAACCUGUGGAAGGUCCUUCCUCAUCAUUUCUGCAAAUACAGUCCCAUUUUCACCUUCAUUAACAUAAUCUAGUUCCUCAAAAAAACGAGCAGCCCAUUCAUCAACCAACCCAACAACAUCUAUUGAUAUCUGAGGAAACUUUCGAAGAACCAAACCCAAAUUUCGUAUAAUGUACAGAUCUAUUGUUACGGUUUCAAGAACAAAAGGCCUCUGUACUUUGACAGCCACCAGAUCCCCAUUCUCUUUUAGCCUACCCUUAUAUACCUGCCCUAGAGAUGCUGCAGCAAUUGGAGAAGAAGAAAGCUCAGAAUAGAUGUUAUGCCAUGGCUGACCAAGCUCCUGCUCAAUAAGAGCCAUUGCUACAUCAUCUGGAAAUGAGGGAACCUUAUCACAAAGCUUUUGUAGCUCAGUCAUUGCUACAGGUGACAGUAUAUCUGGACGAAUACUCAAUGCUUGACCAAGUUUUAUAUAUGCUGGACCCAAAGAGGUUACAAUUUCCCUUAAUUCAAUGGCCCUAGCAACUUCAUUCUCUUUGACCUUCUUGUUUAUAACAUCCCAAGCAAGGCGAGAGAGAAAACCCCCAGCAACAGAGAGUAAUUGGAAAGCUCUUGUAGCAACAGCGCGCGGCCGUUUUCCCCAAUAGGCGGAAAUACUAGCAGGAUCAUAUGCCAAAGGUAAAAACUCACUGCUCUCGUCUAGCUCAACUAGGCGAAGCUUAAUAUUAUCAUCGGCAAACUGAGCAUCUCUCAAAUUUUGGCCUCGAAGUCCUCUCAUUAGUAUCGCCAACUGCUCGUUUUCCUCCAUUUGCGCCCUCACUCUUUUGAUCUCCUGUGAAACUUCACCGAUCCUUGUGGAAGCUCCGUUGACUGGUUUCAACGGCGAAGAUCUUGAGGAAACUCCAUUAACAGUUUUGGAAGGAGGCGACCUCGAUGAGCCAUUGAGAUUUUGUGGUGACGAUGAUUUAUCGGGUCCGGUUUGAGAAGGUUUCGGCUCGGUGGCAACGGCGAAAACACGGUUGGUUCGUUUCCGAACAGUAAUUCUGGUCGGUGACGCAUAGCGCAUAGGUAAAGUGAACCACCGGGGCUCGAUUCCGCCGUAGACGAGCAGCGGAGCCGCGUCCAUAGCGGAACCGGACACGAUAGCUGAUAGAUUAGAGAGUGAAUAAGCUUAGAACCGGAAGUUCUACUUAACAGCACCAGAGAGGCGUUUUGUGCGCAUGCGUUCAGCUCGUAGGGGGAAUGGUUACACUUUAUUAAAUAGUGAGGGAGAUGCUGUGGUCGUUGGGGAAACACGUGGCGACGCAAGGAGGCAAGGAAGGGUGGCAGUGGCUGCUCCACUUCUCGGUUCGAUUUGUUGUCUACUGGAACUUUAUUAAAUUUGGCCAAUUGGGUUCACUAGAGAUUUUGGCAUUGUUUGCGCGAAAAUCGUGGGGCGGUGAAGAUGCGGGACUCGUCAACUUGUGUUGACAUGUGUAAUUUUCCCUUGCC